CUUGGUCAUUUAGAGGAAGUAAAAGUCGUAACAAGGUUUCCGUAGGUGAACCUGCGGAAGGAUCAUUAAUGAAAGCUAGAGCGAGGUUGUAGCUGGCCCCCCCGGAGGCAACGUGCACGCCUUGUCUCCAUCUUCAUCUCUCACCCCCUGUGCACCUCUGCGUGGGUUCGGAGCGUUGGUUCGCUUCGGGCUUGCGUCAUUUUCCACAAAUCGUAUGUCUCGGAACGUUUUAUACUUGCUGUCGAAGCAAAAAAAUAAAUUUGUACAACUUUCAACAACGGAUCUCUUGGCUCUCGCAUCGAUGAAGAACGCAGCGAAAUGCGAUAAGUAAUGUGAAUUGCAGAAUUCAGUGAAUCAUCGAAUCUUUGAACGCACCUUGCGCCUCUUGGUAUUCCGAGGGGCACGCCUGUUUGAGUAUCGUGAAAUUCUCAACCCAACUCCUUUUGUGAAAAAGGGAUUUUUGGGCUUGGACUUUGGAGGUCUUUGCUGGUCCCUUUGUUUGGGAUCGGCUCCUCUCGAAUGCAUUAGUGGAGCUUGUCUGCUCUCUCUGCCUCUCGGUGUGAUAAUUCAUCUGCGCCGAUGUGUGAGAAGAGGAAAGUGCCGCUUCGAACCGUCUCGUUCUCGAGACAAGCAUAUAUACCCUUUGAUCUCAAAUCAGGCGGGACUACCCGCUGAACUUAAGCAUAUCAAUAAGCGGAGGA
rnacentral:rRNA from 1 species